UGGCAAUUCCUCAAUUUUCGGUCUCCAACUAUUUGCCUUUGAUUCUUCCUGAAAAUAAACCAUUUGCAAAUCUUCAAAUUCAUCAAUCUUAAUUUCACUGGAAGUGGUUUGAAAUUGGUCAUGAACUAAUUUUUCAGUAAAGUCCACUUCCUGUAAAUCAUUAUCAUCUCCAGGUUGCUUGCAAAUGUUGAAAAUAUUCAUUUCCAAUGUCAU
rnacentral:lncRNA from 1 species